UGCGGACCCAGAGCGGCGGCCGCAGAUCCAGGCGCCAUGGCUGCGGAGCGGACCCCGCCGCUGCGAGGCUCUGGCGGCCCGAGCGCGCCUACUCGGUGUGAGCCCGGCGCGAGGUCCCGGGCCCCGGGGCGCUCGCUCAGGUAAAUUUUUCCAUAACCUUAUGGAGAGAAAGGACUUUGAGACAUGGCUUGAUAACAUUUCUGUUACGUUUCUUUCUCUGACGGACUUGCAGAAAAAUGAAACUCUGGAUYACCUGAUUAGUCUGAGUGGGGCAGUCCAGCUCAGGCAUCUCUCCAAUAACCUGGAGACUCUCCUCAAGCGAGACUUCCWCAAACUCCUUCCCUUGGAGCUCAGUUUUUAUUUGUUAAAAUGGCUUGAUCCUCAGACUUUACUCACAUGCUGCCUCGUCUCUAAACAGUGGAAUAAGGUGAUAAGUGCCUGUACAGAGGUGUGGCAGACUGCUUGUAAAAAUUUGGGCUGGCAGAUAGAUGAUUCUGUUCAGGACGCUUUGCACUGGAAGAAGGUUUAUUUGAAGACUAUUUUAAGAAUGAAGCAACUGGAGGACCAUGAAGCCUUUGAGACCUCAUCAUUAAUUGGACACAGUGCCAGAGUGUAUGCACUUUACUACAAAGAUGGACUUCUCUGUACAGGGUCAGAUGACUUGUCUGCAAAGCUGUGGGAUGUGAGCACAGGGCAGUGCGUUUAUGGCAUCCAGACCCACACUUGUGCAGCGGUGAACAACAAAGCAGGUCUUCUUUUGAAACCCUUCAAAGCCUUGCCCAUUGAAUCCAGAAUAAAACUCAACCUCAUUAUCAUGGCUUGA